GACGAACGCUGGCGGCGUGCUUAACACAUGCAAGUCGAGCGGAGCGGCGAACGGGUGAGUAACGCGGGCGUAACUGCCCCCCCCUCUGGGAUAACAGUUGGAACCGGCUGCUAAUACCGGAUAGUGGGGGAUGACUCGCGUCCUAUCCGCUUGUUGUUUGGGUAGGGGCCUACCAAGGCGACGACGGGUAGCCGGCCUGAGAGUGCGACCGGCCAGAUUGGGCGGAGAUACUGCCGAAACGCCUACGGGAGGCAGCAGUGGGGAAUAGUGCGCAAUGGGGGAAGCCCUGAUGCAGCAACGCCGCGGGCGGGAUGACGGCCUUCGUGUUGUAAACCGCUUUCAGCCAUGACGCGGUAGUGGCAGAAGAAGCACCGGCUAACUACGUGCCAGCAGCCGCGGUAAUAC
rnacentral:rRNA from 1 species